GAGAAACUCAAAGCAGCUUAUGAUAUACUAAAAUUAAAAUAAAAAGUCAUCAUAGAGCUAACACUGAUGCACAUGGUAGCCUUAAAGUUGAGACAAACCUAAAAAUGAUGGGAAAAUUAAAGGACUCAUCAGGAGCUGUCAGGAGUUUGUGACAUUUGAAACAAAUCGAGACUCAUCAAACCAGGCAACAUUUUUCCAGU